AAUAGAUACCCAGGUAGUCCACGCCGUAAACGAUGAAUACUAGGUGUAGGGGUUGUCAUGACCUCUGUGCCGCCGCUAACGCAUUAAGUAUUCCGCCUGGGGAGUACGGUCGCAAGAUUAAAACUCAAAGGAAUUGACGGGGGCCCGCACAAGCAGCGGAGCAUGUGGUUUAAUUCGAAGCAACGCGAAGAACCUUACCUAGACUUGACAUCUCCUGAAUUACUCUGUAAUGGAGGAAGCCACUUCGGUGGCAGGAAGACAGGUGGUGCAUGGUUGUCGUCAGCUCGUGUCGUGAGAUGUUGGGUUAAGUCCCGCAACGAGCGCAACCCUUAUUGUUAGUUGCUACCAUUUAGUUGAGCACUCUAGCGAGACUGCCCGGGUUAACCGGGAGGAAGAUGGGGAUGACGUCAAAUCAUCAUGCCCCUUAUGUCUAGGGCUACACACGUGCUACAAUGGUCGGUACAAUGAGAUGCAACCUCGCGAGAGUGAGCAAAACUAUAAAACCGAUCUCAGUUCGGAUUGUAGG
rnacentral:rRNA from 1 species